GGAUUGUAGUCUGCAACCCGACUACAUGAAGCUGGAAUCGCUAGUAAUCGCGAAUCAGAAUGUCGCGGUGAAUACGUUCCCGGGUCUUGUACACACCGCCCGUCACACCAUGGGAGUCGGAAAUGCCCGAAGUCAGUGACCUAACCGAAAGGGAGGAGCUGCCGAAGGUGGAGCCGGUAACUGGGGUGAAGUCGUAACAAGGUAAC
rnacentral:rRNA from 1 species